rnacentral:rRNA from 1 species
GACGAACGCUGGCGGCGUGCUUAACACAUGCAAGUCGAACGGAAAGGCCCUGCUUUUGUGGGGUGCUCGAGUGGCGAACGGGUGAGUAACACGUGAGUAACCUUCCCUUGACUUUGGGAUAACUUCAGGAAACUGGGGCUAAUACCGGAUAGGAGCUCCUGCUGCAUGGUGGGGGUUGGAAAGUUUCGGCGGUUGGGGAUGGACUCGCGGCUUAUCAGCUUGUUGGUGGGGUAGUGGCUUACCAAGGCUUUGACGGGUAGCCGGCUUGAGAGGGUGACCGGCCACAUUGGGACUGAGAUACGGCCCAGACUCCUACGGGAGGCAGCAGUGGGGAAUAUUGAAAAAUGGGCGGAAGCCUGAUGCAGCAACGCCGCGUGCGGGAUGACGGCCUUCGGGUUGUAAACCGCUUUCGCCUGUGACGAAGCGUGAGUGACGGUAAUGGGUAAAGAAGCACCGGCUAACUACGUG